UGCUUUAAUAUAAAUCCUGAGCAAUAUAUUCCUUAAAGGCAAACCUGUGAAAUAUGCCCUCCAAACUCUGCCGUUGAUCAUCAAGAAGAUUUGAUCCAUCCACUUGGGUCCCAAGAAGACCUUUUAUUCUCUCUAAGACAAUUAAAAACGAAAAUGACACUAAGGAAAGCCUCGCUGAUCCUAAUUUCUAUAUCAUAACUAUGUAAAAAAAAUGUUCUGAACAAACACAACUUUUCUGAAAUAAGAAAUCUACCAAACAUCCAGAUACCAUGUGGAAAUUAAAUUUGCAAAUUUAGGUUUCGUAUAUAAGCCAAUCGUUGAAAAUAAGGAAGACAACAGAAAAUGGAAGCCAUAACCAAAAAAAUUAUGAAAAACCGAUAAAAUUGAUAGUUCUGAAGUACUAAACUAAGUUGAUACAGUGUCCCAAGACUGCACUUGUUUUCUUUACUGAAACCUGCUUUAGAUGAUAAAUUUGUACCUUCAGUCUUUCGAGAUGUAUUAGAUGAAGGUGAUGCAAUGUAUAAAUUCAAAAUUAUAGUGGACAUCCCAAUAAUUAUGGCCAUUGCAUACACAUGCAAUCAUAUCACAAAAAAAUUACAGCCAAUGAAGAAAAAAAUUGCUACUCUUCUACUCGUUGAUUACUGCGUUCGGAUCAAUUUCAACAAGGCUUAUCAGUGUGACCUCAAUACCACCUUCCUCAUAAUUAAAUCAGAUCUUGAGAUCAAUACAAACAGCAGUGUUCUAAAAAGGUCCUAGGCGGUAAGCGGGAGGCCUCCUAGCGCCCGGGGCAGUUUUUUUUAUUAUAUUUAUUCUUUAGAACAAUCAAUAUUUACUCAAAAAACAAUAAUAAAUGACCAAAUAUCAAAUUCUAAUAAAGAAAGAACAUCAAAAUAGAGAUUAACUUGUUUAAGAUUGAAUAAUACUAAGAGGAAGAAUAAGAAAUGACUAAUUAGAUCUAUAAAAUACAUAGAAUUUAGAAAAUAGCGUCUCUUAAAAAGAGCUAGGCAUAUUAGCGGGCACCGCAGGGGCGGCCAGCGCUUAGGCGGGGCCUAGGUUUUGAGCGGCCACAAUAUUUAGAACAGUGAAACAGGAUAUUCCUAGGACAUAUCCAACAUAUUUUCUAGCACGUUUAAUUGCAGCCAAACUGUUGUGACAGUUGGGCAACCAUGCAAAGUCCAUAAAUUGAUUGUGCAUCCUAGAUGUUCAAAGGACAACGUGAAUAGGGGAUGUGGAAUAUUGAGCACAAUGAGUUCUAAAAAACUACGGUGCUAUUCAGAAUAUAAAAUUUACCCAUAACAACAUUCACCAUAGUUUAUAUUGCGAACUUCCACAAUGUAUGCUAUUUAAUACCCAUUUACUCAGUUUAGUCAAUUCAAUAUGAAAUAGUUUAUUGCCGACGACAAUUACUCCCAUGAAAUCCAUAUUUGUUGAUAUUAUAACUACCUGUUGUUGAUGAAACCCACCCAAGAUUUGGACACCAAAAUGCACUAUGAUACCUUUAAACUGUCAGAAAUUACCACUUAUGGCCCUCUAAAAAUAUUUUUUGGCCACUACCUCCCUCGUUUUGCCAGUUCUACCACUGAAACAGACACAAAGAAGAUUCUAGCUUUCCCCAAACAUCACAGGAUGACCGUAUGCAUAAAUUGUGGGUAUCUUCAUCAAAAUGUUAAAAAAAUUAAUAGUAAUAAUAAUAACAAUAACAACAAUAUAAUAAAUAUAAUAAUGUGACCCCACUUCCUGCCACCCGUACAUGAAAACACAAAAACACAUUACUGUAUGCCAAAUGUGCCAUAACAGUUCCAUCUAAAAUACUUUCUCUUUAUUUUCCAUGUUUAUUGCAUAAGAUAAUAAAACUCAAGCUCACAUUCGAUUUCAGAAAUUAAAAAUGCUGUAUGUGCUCGCUUAUACCAAGGGUACAACAAAAGAUCAGUACCACCUGAUAAGACACACCAAAAUGAUAACUCUAAAACUUUCCAUAACUUAUCUGUACUAUUAUAAAGGAAACACCUCAGUAUCAAUGAAAAAAUGAAACUGAGUCAAGCUUUUUUCUAUUCCAAAUGUGUCCAAUUAAAAACAUUUUUUUAAUACGUAAAUGACUUUUAUAUUUCUUAACUGUAAGUCCAAACAAGACAAAUCCACACAAUUAGAAUCACAGCUUACCAACACUGGUCCAGUUACAAAACCUCAUACUGACUUUUCAUUUUCCUACACUUGCUCUGCAAUCAAAUAGAGCCAUCUCCAUUACGUUUAUGUUACCUUUCAUUUUACACUCUUUGGAUCUGAUGGUUUGGUGAUGGAGUCCGGAUGCUGGCAACCCACCCCAGACUUUAUGGGCAAUAGAUAGAUUCAAGGUUCAUGAAUCUCCUAGCCUUUUUACCCUACUCAAAAACUAUUAUGUCACAUUCUCUUUUUUUUUUCAAAGAAGAGCAAUUUAAGCGCCUUCGCUUAUUUGUGUAACAAAGAAUUGCAUAGCUUGUGCAAAGUUGCCAGUUUCCCCAUAGUUACCGAGGAACUCUAUUUGAAAGGGAUAACUCGUUUUCCCAUACACUAGCUUUAGAUUUAAAAUUUUAAGGAAAACUCUUAUAAAAUUUUAAGGAUAACUUCUAGGAAACGCUUUUGAUGCGUUUCCGAAACUGUUUAUAUUAAAGAUAUUUGUCAGGAUCUCUUAAAACAUAUUAUGGAAACUCCAUAAAAAACUUGUUUCUAUCUUUGCACCAUUUCCCACAAUGUCAGUUUUAUGUUUAUCAAUAAAAUCCAAUCAUUUUAGUUUUUCUGUAUAGAUUUUGUGCAAAAUUAGUGUUUCGAUUGCUGAUGAAAUUAAUCUAAUACGUUCUAUUGUCAUUCUUAAGCCUCUAAAUAUAUACAUUAAAAGGGAACGCUCCAUUUUGGUGUAACAUCCAUUUAGACGCCAUGUUAUAUCACGAGGUCAUAGGUUCAUUCCAUUCAUUUCAUUAACUUCAUAACAAUAAAAACAUAAUUGAUGGUAACAGCCGGCUCAUAUUUUUUAUGCCAAAAAUAUCCUUUCACAUUUUCAAAACAAUACAAACAUAACUCGUUGCUUCAUGGUUACAAUACUAUUAAAAAAGUAUUUUUUAAAAAAAAAAAAAAGCAAAAAAAAAAACACAUCAGUUAGUAUGUAAUGAAAUUGUACUUCUAAUAUGUUUGAAUUUCGGUUUCUCAUAUUGGUAACUAUUUAUUAAAGAAAUACAGACUACUGAGAGUUAAGCAGCAGUUGUAUACCUGUGAAUACAGAAUUGAGAAGAGCACCAACAAAGAACUCCGUCUUUCCUUAUCGGCCCUGUAUUCAAAUCCUUCAUGCAAAAAUUCACUGGACACUCCCUAGCAUCAAAAUGCCCUUGACCUUCCGAACAGAUCAUGAUCUCUGACCGGUUCACGUGGAGGGCGGGGUUCUCGAGCCCGUUCCCACGCAGGGCGAAUCGCCUGCUCGUGAUCCUCCCUGCAAAAAUCCAGAAAACCCAGAGUGAGAGUUCGGUUCGCAAACCCUAGAAACGGUCGAUUGAAGAAAUUGGGACUUAGGUUUUGCGAUGGGUGAGAAAGUACUGGAGAGAAACGAGACGGAAUAGGAUUUUCGUGUAGAGAUUUUGUACGAAAUCGGGUUUGGGUUUGAGCAGAUCGGCCUCGGCGGCGAUAUUUGCCUCCUCUAGGUAUUCUAUGAUGUCGGGGCGAGGGAGCUUCGGGAAUCCAUACUUGGACAUUGUAGAGAGAGAGGAGAGAGAGAGAGUUCUGAGUGAUUCGUGAGGAGGAAGUGGGGGAUUUUAGGUGAGAGAUCCAGACGGUACAGGUUUCAAGUAUUUUAUGUUUGAUUAUCCAUGCGUUAUUAUAUCUCUUUUAAAAAUUUAUAUUAUAUGAAUUAAAUUUUAAUACAAAUUGUAAUCAAAUUCUAUUGAUACCAUUUUAAACACUUAAAAUUUUUAAAGAUGUUGUGAAAGGAAUGUUUGGUUUUAUGAUCAGCCCAAAACUAAGUUAUUUUAAAACAACUGUUAGAUUUUGUUGUCAUUAAAUAUUAACAAGAAAAACUUAUUUCUAUUGAUAGAAAUAUUGAAUUUGCUUCUAAAUUUUUAAAUGAGAGUAGGGAUAAAACCCAGCUCCAAAACAUUUUGGAUAGUUUAAAUUAUAUUUGAAUUAUUAUCCUACCUUGUCCACAAGAUGUAUCAAUCUUAUAUUCAAGAUUGAAAACAUCGAUCCCUGAAAGCAAUAGUCAGUUGUUCAAAAAUUAAAUAAAAGUUGAUCGCUUUCUUGCUAUCUCUUGCAAAAUUAAUUGAAAUAAGGUGUGAAAACGGUUUUCUAAUCUUGGUUAUGGAGGAAAUUUUAAAAUAAUUAAUCCUAAAAAAAAGGAAGAGUUAAUUUUGCUUUACUUCAGAAUGUAAAAAUCGGCUACAUAAUUAUUCCACCAAUUAUAAAAUAAAUGUGUAUAUGUGUUAAAUGUAUUGUUAAAUUGCAGAUGACUUAUUAAGUCAAAAAACUUUCCCCAUCUUGAGAUAAACUCUCAGCAUUUAAACAAAUUUUAACAAAUAAUUAAAAACUUGCCUCAAAAUAAGUUUUUGUUAGAUGGCAAUUGGAAUUAUUUCUUUUGAUUUUUAAAAUUGAACUAUAUCAAAGAAAUUAUAAUUUUCAUCCCCUGAUUUUCUUAUAUCUCUUGUUAAAAAUUAUAUUAUUAAAAAAUAAAUUUAUCAACAUUAAUAAUCGAUUAAUAUCAGAUUUAUAUUAAGAUAAAUAAAUUAUGUAUACCACACUCAUUAAGUCAUAUUUUAUUUGCAUGCGAUCAACGUGGUAUUUAAUGUAUUAAUCUUCUUAACAACGUUUAUAACAUAACGAUUUAAAUCUUCAGCAUAAAUCUAAUAUCUAUAUUAUAAAUCAUGAUUUAAUUUAAUCCAAAUUCGAUCUCGCGCUAUCUACAGGUCAUAUUCAUUUUGAGUUGAUCAAACGGCUCAAUUGUAACCUCACAAACGAUUCUUUUUUUCCGCCUAAAACUAUCAUUUUUUAUUCCAUGGCUGAGAUUUGUUUGAUUUUAAAUAACGGUCCAGCUUUCACACCCACACAAGCCGUCUCCUCCACGUCAGAACACGGCCUCCACGUUUCACUCUCUCGUUACACUGUGGUGUGAUUGUUGUGAUGGCUUUGAUGAAUCUGCUCUAAGGCCAUGUUUGUUUUGGUGGAUUAGGGCCGACUUUGAACAACUGAGUCCAGUUCCAGUCCCGUCCGAACGUUUGUUUGGUAAAAAAAAUAUGACUCCGGACUAUUAGGUCGAUUGACUAAAUUUUUCUGUCCCGGGUGGGUGUUGGUGUGGGCCACAAGUACCCCGAACCUAAGCCUAAGUCGGACUAAUAUGUAAAAUACUAAUUUGCCCUUACACAUUCACUAAAUUUUCCCUCUCUUCCCUUCUUCUCUCCUCUCUUCUCCUCUCUCUCUCGCCUUUCUCGCCUCUCUCAUUCGUUUUAUUUUUAUUUUUAUUUUUUUAUUUUUUUAUUAGUUUUUUUAAAUAAAUUUUUUCUGUUUUUUGAUUAAAAUGAAUUUUUAUUCCAUUUUUUUUGGAUAACGCAAGUUUUUUUAAAAAACUUAACCAUUUUUCUAAAAAAUAUUUUUUAAAAAUAUUUAAUCGAAAAAAUAUGAAACAAAUAUUUUAAAAUAUAUAUUUUAGUGAGAACAGUUUUUGAAAAAGAUACCAAAUUUUCUUUUAAAAAAUUAGUUUUUUUUUAAAAAAAUGUUAUUUUUUUAAAAAUCUAUUUUUUCUCAAUUAUUUUUAAAACUUAAAUAAAAAAUUUAUAUUUUAAACAAAAAUAUUUUUCUAAAAAACGGUUAAUUUUAAAAGAGAUUGUUGUAUCCAAAAAUAAUUGAAGGGGUAUGUUGGUCUUUCUUUCAUUUGUCCAUCCGAUUGCUUAGCAACACCACAUUGGGAACCGACUGAACUACCACUUAUCAGAGUUUUUGUCGCGGAGCAAAACCAGCUACCCGAUAUAUCCGGAUUCAAGUAGUCCGAACGGAGUCCAAUCCCUCCCCAGUCCGUAGGCUAUAUUCCGAAGAAUCCUUAGCCAGUCGGUGGACAACGAGCCCUAAGGAUUACAAACACAGCUCAAGGGGAGAGUGGUCUUCACCCAUUUCGCCCUCCCAUAUCAACCCCGCUCUCUCUCUCUCUGCAUCUCUCUUCUUCAAGAGCUCAGUUCUCUCUCUCUUGCUAUUAUUUGGGGCCUAAUCUCCAGUUCUAACAUAGCUCAAACGCAUCACAAUUACGGUACCUCCGCACCAAGCCAUUCUCGCGAACGCCCAAGCUAAUCAAAAACGGAGUUUCUUUAGUAUAUGUAUUCUCUUCUCAAUUUAUAUAUUGUUUCUCAACUUUAUGGUUAGGGAUUGGAGGCUUGGGGGUCACAGGGGAUUGGAGGUACUGGAGAGAGAGAGGGGGAGAGAUCCACAUUGAAACCACUUAUCCUACACUUCACAAUUUUUUCUUCAACUCUAUUUGCAAUUGUUUUCAGUGUUUUGGAUUCUACGACUUCCUGAUUCCCUACUUCGACGAUCUUCUUGUGAGGUCUUUGACCCACCCAUGAUCCUAAUCAGGCGAGUUCGGUUCUAUCAGCCCUUCACACAACCCCACUAGCCACUACCAUACCCGAAACCCACAUCUCUACCCCCAACCCAAACCCCCAACCAAACCCAAACCCAAACCCACACCCCAAAAUCAACACUCCCAAACACCCAAACACCACACUCCUAAAAACACAAACCACAGCUAACCACCACCACUACCAAAAACACCACCACUACUAAACCCCAAACCCCAAACCCAAACCCAAUCACCCGAAAAAACCGAAAACCCAUAAAAAACCCACAUCACAACCUAUACGCCCAAAACCCUACCCCCACUGCCAUGGCCACCCAAAACCACCACCCACAAACAUCCCGGACGUGCACACGCAGAGAGAGAGAGGAUUGAGAGAGAGCUGAGAGAGAGAGCUGAAACCGUCAAAACCAAUUUGAUAUUUAGAGCUGAUAUAGCGAGCUGAACCGCUCAAAUCAACAAUUUUUUUUCUUUCUUUAUAACAUUAUUGGCCUUAUGAUAUUAACAUCUUGUCCCUGUAAUGUUAUCUAUUUCAAUUUUAGUCCCUGUAGUGUUAAAUCGUGCAAUUUUAACGAAUGAGUUCCAAUUGUAGUCUCUUUAGUAUAUGUUUCGAUUUAGUAUAUGUUUUUAAUCUUGCCUAACCUGUAGUUUCAAUUGUAAUCGUUGUAGUAAAUUUUCAUGAGUUAAUCGUUCCAAUGGACAUGAUGACAUGAUUAGAAGUCUCAUUUUUUCCUUUAAAAUUUUUGACACCAGAUUGGAUUGCCUAGGGUGGAUUAUUAACAUCCGGUCCCUUAAUGUUAUCUAUUUUAAAAUUUUUAGUCCCUGUGUUUUUAAAUCUUGCAAUUAACAAAUAAAUCAUUUUAGUCCUCUUUAGUAUAUGUUUAAUCUUCCUUUGUUUUCAAUUUUGUCUCUUUAGUAAUAGGUUUUAAUUUUAGUCACUUAUUAUCAAAUGAGUCUAAUUAGUAUCAAUUAGGGGCCAUUACUGAAAAUCACAACUGUAAACUCUAUGUUAUAAUUCCAAAACUGUAAUUUGGGGGUUUGGGUUUGGGUUGAUUGGUUUUGUCGGCCAUGUAAAUUCUAUAGUUUAGAAUGCCCACGGUUACUGUAAAAACUAUAGUUAUAUGUCGGCCCUGUAACUAAAAUCCCUCAAAAAAUUAACUUCCAAUAACUAAUUGGACUAAUUAUCAAUAAAUCAAAAAUCAAUAAAAAAACAGUGUGACGCAUUUUUGGAAAGGCCAAAUCUCAAUAAUUAACCCAAUUCGUUAGAUCAAAUAUUUUUAUUUCAAAAAGUAUUUUAAAGGUUGUUACAUUUAUAACAUUUCAAAUCAUACUUUUUCUAUUUACUUUUUACAAAAAUUCGCUCAAAUAUCUCCAAACUCAAUACAUCUUUCCCUUUAAAUAUAAAUUUUAAUGAGUAUGUGUUAAAGAGGUGGUCUUUUUUUUUUACAUAGUGCCUAUGGGCACGUGCAAUUGCUAGUACUAGUUCCGUUUACUUACUGAUACGAGGGGAAUAUAAUUCUUUCUUUUAUUUUCUACUUAGAGGGUGAUUUAGACAUUUAUGAAAAAGUUCGAUAAUAAGCACCAGAAAAGAAGUGUUUUUGAUGGUCAUGGGAAUGCGAUUACGGCUUCCCAAUUAACCGGAACUGCUUGGACGUGGUUUUUAGAAUCACUUUUUAUAAUUCUUUUAAAAACAGUUUUGUAAAAAAAAUCGUUUGCAUAUUGUAUCACCUAUACAAUUGAAAACAUCACAUAAUCUAUAUUAUAAAUCGCAACUCAUUUUAAAUUUAAAAACUAUUUUUGGUUGAAAUUUAUUUGAGUUAUAGUCAACGACUAUAUUUUAUUUAAUUAUGUUUUUGCUCAAAAUGUGUUGGGACCCACAUAGGGUUGGACAAAGCAAUUGUUUUCAUUAGAUUAUUUUUUAGUGCGACUCGCACAAAAAAAUAAAUUACAAUCACUUUUUUCUUUUUUCUCAUUGUCCUCUUAACUAACAAUUUUGUUUAAAAUUAUUGUCAUUUUUAUUUUGCUCUCCAUUUUAAUAUAAUGUUCUCUUCCGUAUAUGCCUGUAAUGUAUCUUUUAUCUCCGUUCAUAUCUUAUCUUUUUUUAAUGUAAAACUCUAAACGAGUACACCUAAGAGGUUGUCUUCUUUUUUUCAUUAAUGCCGUUGUCAACGAGCAUUAACUAGUUUUAUUAUAUUGUACAAUUUAAAAAUUGAACUGUAGAGAAACUGCUCCUUAAAAAGAAUGUCAAGAGAUUUUCCCGCCCAAGACGAAGAUGGUUCUAGCUUCUGAAAAAUGGACCGAAAAUCGGACCGGUGAAGAUUGGUGGCUCGGGAAUUGUGGACAGGUGAAAAGUGUACUUACUAUUGUUGGAUUAUCUUUGAUAUUAAUAUUUUUUUUAUGAUAAUUAAAUCUUAUUUACUAAAAAAAUAUUUAUUGUUAUAAAAUCAUAAAUCUUGGAAUAAUUAUAGAUUUUUUUUUAUUUGUUUGAUUGAUUGAGCUGUCAAAGAUUUUUUUAUCUAUAUGGAACACAACUUUAUGAAAAGAUAGAUUUAUGAAACUAAAGGCAAAAAUAUACAUAUGGACCUUUUUCUUUCUAUGGUAAUAAAAUAAUUAUUUAUCAAAAAAUAUAUUAUUGUCAUUUAUUUUGUUUUCCUUUUUUCGGAUAGACUGAGCUUCGAAAAUUAUAUAUUUUACAUGAAUAUUGUGUUUAAAAUAAUUAAUAAUAUUUUUUGAGAACGUUUCAAACUUAAAAAAAAAUAAUGACUAUAGUAUAAUAUAUAUUGAGAUAUUUUCUAAUUGAACAAACUCUAUUUAAAUAUUAUUAAGAUAAAUUUCAUUUGAAAUGAUAAUUUAUUUUAUAUUAUUUUUUAAAUAAAAGUCAAAUAAACUAUAUUGAGUAAGAUACUUUUCAUUUGAUUUUAACAUACUUCUAUAUAAGAUGAAUUUUAAUUUUUUUUUAUAUUAUUUUUAAAAAAAGUGAAUAGAGCUUCCACAUGCUUUCUUGUGAAAAGUCCCUCAUGAGACUGCUCCAUCAUCGCUCACGUCACCGAUAUCUAUGAAAUUACUCGUUCUUCCAUUGGAGGAAAAAAACGCAACCAUAGUUAUACUGAGCAAGCGCCAAUCUAGUGUCACCUUCAAGACGAUCAGUCACCCUUCCUCCUGAAAGAACCCCCCUCAGUGAGUUUAGCACACCAAUCAGUUGGCUGGCACAACACAGUCUAGUGAAUACCACAGACGGCGCUAAAUUGUUGUGGCAUAAAUCUGGGGCCGAGUAACCAACAGUCAAAAUUGCUUUUUUACCCCAGCUGAUAACUUUUGUUCUCUUGCUUGCACAGCUCGCCUUCAAGCGAGGCGACCCGACCUUGCUGAAAGGUCAACUCGUCCCACGCUUCCCUGCUCUGAAUAGCCAGAGAAGAUCCGAGCACAAUCGCAUGUUACAAGUAAUUUUUUAGGGUUGCCUUAAACUAAGGAAGAUAUCGAAGUGAGAACCGAGAUUAGAACCAGAGUAAUACUUGGCCAAUGAUGUGGGAAAACUUUGUAACCGUUUGAUCCACGAUUAGUUGCUCCACCCUCUCCUUUUCAACAGGAGGAACUGCCCCGGAUAGAAUUUUCUCGACCACGGAAGGGCUCCCCAAGAUGGAGGCUUGGGGCCCCAGCAUGGUAGCAGGGUUAACUGAGGUACCCUCCCCAGGUUUCAGCAUAGGAGUAGCUCUCGUGCUCGUCGCAUCGCGGGGGUUUGCCUUUUUGGCCUCGAGAGGCGGAGCAGUUUCCUUCCCUUUGGAGCCAUCAAUAGUCUUGCCCUUCUUGUUGGGCGAGGUGACAAAGGCCUCCCUAGGGGGUUUCUCGCCAAUGACCACCCCCUUCGCCACCGAGCUCCUACUCUUGGACUCCUCAAGCUUUUUGCCAAGCUUUUUUAGGUUAAUUCUCCAUGACAUAGCUGCAAAUGAAAACCAACAUCAGUACAAGGGAGAUGUGAAACACUUGAAAAAGAAAGAGAUACUACCAUCUCAUCUAAGUUCAAGGGGGAGCCCUAGGUCUGAAAAAAAAAAAAAAAAAAAAACAAAAAAAAAACAAACAAAAACAAAAACAAGCCCGAACAAAACCACCACACCACCCACCCCCACCCCCCCCCCUCACCCCCUCCUUCUCUCUUUCCUCUCGAACUAAUUGUCACAAAUCUAAGAGGGGGUCUCAAACCUUCCCCCUAACCACCUCAACAGGGUUUGGUCAGGAAUAUGAGGUAAGAUUCUCCUCAUUUCCUUCAUAAUGGUUUCUAUAUAUUCUAUUGAUGCACCUCGGGGGCUUUCAUUCCAGGGAUGUUUAUCUCGGGAAUGGCGACACUCACCCUUGUUGCCCGUUACUGGAGCUGCCACACCAGCGAGUGCACCCUCGUCUUUGUCCCCUCCUCCAGGCGUUAUUAGCUUCGAUGAGAGACCAAAGCUUCGGCAGAAGAUCUUAGAUCAAAGAACCACCUUGAUCGAGUAGAGUUCUCUUCCAACCGAGCUCUCGUCUAGUCUUUCUUGUUCAUUCUUGAAUAGCUGUGCACCUUAUUAAAACCGCCCGCUGGCCUUAAAAGAAAACCACUAAUCGUUGCCACACAGACGAUGUGUUUACCUUGAAGAACUGACCAAAUAAUUUUGUCUCUUGGGAUCCUCUUACCUCAAGAACUCUUGAACCCCAGCUUCCUGAGAUAACUCUUUCCGGGACUCCGCAGUUAUCCCCCAAAGACGAAGAAGAAUUUUCUUUUUUCACCCUUGACAUUAGUGGGAUAUGUCCUGAAUAGGGGCCUCUUCGGCCUCGCCUUGAAAUACAGCCACCCAGAGUCUGGCUUUGGAUUCUUGUAAAGGCCGAACAGAUUCCGAAACUUGAAAAGGGAAAGGGCAACCUUGUAAUAUCGCCACAACACUGCCGCACAUACGAUACUAUGCCAUGCAUUAGGGACGAGCUGAGCGGGGCACAUGUUGUAAAAAUGCAAAAUCAUCCUCAUUGAAGGAUGAAUAGGGAGUCGAAGACCAGCAUGAAAGGCAGCCUCGUAAAAGGCCACCUCGCCUGGGCGAGCAGACAUAAUGGCCUCGCCCUCCUUGGGGAGCCUAAUCUAAAUACUUGAAGAAUUGGAACAUGAUUCCCUAAGUGGUUUCAACUCUUCUGAGGGCAUGAUAUUCUCCUCCCUCUCAAUUGAAGGAAGGGUGAUCGAGGGACUACUAUCGGGACUAGAUGGGUCUUCCCUAGAUGAGGAAGAGAGUCUAGUGACCUCGUCUUCCAUAUAAGACUUCUCCCCUAAGCGGUCAAAUAUCCAAGAUGGUAAGGAAUUUGAGUCUCCUUCGUCGGCUCUAUUGAACAUACACUACAGAAACAGAGAAAACUAAAGGAGUUUUUGGUACUUACUGGGUCAAGGUUGUGGAGGUGAGCACGAGAUGACAAAGAUGAGAUGAAAGUCAGAGCAAGAGCAGCAAUUCGACAAUAGAAACAAAAGAGUACAGCCGAGUGGGGGAACCCCUUAUUCAUAAGAAGCACCUAGGGCUGAGAUCUGUUUGCUCCUGCAGGCAAGAUCACGCAACGUUUCGAGUUUUGAGAUUGUAACUGCUGUUUCCAGCAAAAUGAUAUUCCAACCUUAAUGCACUCAUCCACGUGUCCCCCUGUGGAUAUGUGCCAUUAUUGUAUGACCACGUCAGCAAAACUGAUUUACUCGAUAUUCUACUCGAAGACCUUGAUUGUUUUACCUCAGUGUCUCGAGUAGGGGGACUACUGAUGCAGGGUAAAUUCUCCAAGUUAUUCACCUCACCUAUAAUGUGGUUUGCUUUGUCAGAGCUUACCUCGCCGACCUCUGUGAGCUCGUGACUUGAACUCCAUCGUUGCUCACUUUGCAAAUAUCUAUGAGACUGCUUGUUUUUUUCUUGAAACCAACCUAAAUAGUUAUACUGAGUAA
rnacentral:lncRNA from 1 species